GGUUGCAAAAGAAAUUAAUUUGUUGCCAGUUGCUCCAUACUGGCAGGAAUUCUGAAUAAAGAAUGUAAGCAAUCUAUCUUUGUUUGCAAGAUAUAAUUAAUCUGGCAGUUAAAAUUCUUUGGAAACAUUCUGAUGACUUAUGUGGAAAAGUAGCGCAGCAUUUUCAAAGAAAACUCAGAACUGUAUGCAGGGGAAGAUAAAAGAUAUAUGAAGUGUUUGUUCUAAGCGAUACUAUUCAUUUAAAGAUCAUAAUGUAACCCCACCCUAGCAAUUAUUGUGAAAAACAAGACAAAUCGCCAUCUAUAGCUUUCUGACACAGUCUUGAUUUGAGAAAGAAAAUAAGCACAUUACUGUUACAGUCUAAUAGACUGCAAGCUGUUUUAUUAGAGUCAGCUGAAUCCUGUUUUGCAUAAAAAAGAACUGUUUGCUAUCAAGAACACAUUUACAUUAAUAUGACUUUGACAAAGUAAAAUAAAAUCGCAUUAAGAUGAUGCAAGAAAAUGGAGAAACACUACACAGACGGUAGACAAUUUGAGAGGGAAGAAAGUCUCACGGGGUGAGAUGAGCUACCAUUUGCAUGUCCUCUUCUCGAAUUGUCUUUGUGACAUGCAGUUUUAUGAGGAGCCCGACUUUCUGCCUGGAGUCUUUGAUGUAUUGUUCUUGAAGUUGCAACAACAAACACCAGGUGUCUCCACUUAGCUGAGCUAAAGGUCCUGCAGAGGAAGGCCCCUGCACCAGGAAAAAGUUGAAACGGCCUUCCCUUUCCCCAGCGCUUUUGGCUGCUGCCUGGAUAAGCCCGGAAGGGCUGGUUGGGGCCAGGGGAGGGGAGAUCAUUCUUUGAUGAGCAUUCAGGUUGGAGCCUGUUGACUCAUAUCGGAUCUGGAAGGGAACCUGAUUUUUGAGUGGAAGUCAUGAAGACUGGGGCCCCUGGCAACACUGGUGUGCUGGGGAUGGAGUCUAGUGAACCAGGCGGCAGUGGCUGGGAUUACAUUCUUGGUCUACUCUGACAGGGACUCGCCAUCUUGGAAGAUUUUACGAUCUACUUAUUGGAAUUAUAGAAGAUCAACAAUGAAUUACAAUAAAGCAUAAUUAAAUCGGCAUUAUAAUGGCAGAACAGGGAAAAUGAUGAGGAAUAUUUGGGAGAAAGAAACCAUUCAUCACCAAGGCUCUGAAGACAUCAUCAACGUAAGCGGCAGCCACAAAACCCAACAGGCCUUCUGCAUCGUGAUGGUGGCAUAACAUAGGGGUUGAUGCAGAGUCACACAGCAGUCAUAGGCCGUGAGACCCGAAGGGAGUAGUCAAUUGAAACAAAGAAGGUAAAGAGAAAGAACCGAGCACACAGCAUGUGUAGGAUAAAGCUGCCUGGUGUUCUGACAACAUGGCCAUCAUCUGGGGCACAGUGACAGAUGUGGCAGAUGUCCAUGAAAGACAGGUGACUCAGGGAAAAAAAAGAAACAGUUCAUUUUCAACUGAGGUUAUUGGAAAAUCCUUAUGGAGGAACUGGUGGUUCAUGUGUCCUGAAAGUUGAAUAGAAAUGCAGUAGAUGGAGAAGAGGAAACCAACAGACAGAGAGGAUAAAUAACUCGCUGAAUGUCACACAGCAGCGACAGAGCAGAAAGUGAAUCCUAGGCUCCUUAUCCUCGUUGAAUAUACAUUCGAUCCUCCUUUUUCAUGGAUUCCAUAUUCGCAAAUUUGCCUACUCACUAAAAUUUAUUUGCAACUCCAAACCAAUACUUUGGGCAUUUUUACAGUCAUUCGUGGACCUGAGCAAAGUGGUGAAAAAUUUGAGUUGUGAGACAGGCACAUUCCCAGCUCAGGUCAAACAAGGAGAUGCUCUGCCUUCUUCUUUCCUCUCUUAAACUAUAAACAAGUCUCUUUCACAGUGUGUUUAGUGCCAUGUUUUCACAUUUUUGUGCUUUUUGUUGGUGAUUUCACUAUUUAAAUUGUCCCCAAGCAUAGUGUUGAGGUGCUGAUUGGUGAUCCUGUGUGCAAAAAGGCUGUGGCGUGCCUUGUGGAGAAAAUGUGUGUUAGAUAAGCUUUGUCCAGACUUGAGUU
rnacentral:lncRNA from 1 species